GCGGCGUACGGGUGCGGAACACGUGUGCACUAGCUUUAUCUGGGGGAUAGCCUUUCGAAAGGAAGAUUAAUACCCCAUAAUAUGUGAAUGGCAUCAUUCGACAUUGAAAACUCCGGUGGAUAGAGAUGGGCACGCGCAAGAUUAGAUAGUUGGUGAGGUAACGGUCACCAAGUCUACGAUCUUAGGGGCCUGAAGGGUGAUCCCCCAAUGGUACUGAACACGGACCAGACUCCUACGGGAGGCAGCAGUGAGGAAUAUUGGACAAUGGGUCGAGAGCCUGAUCCAGCCAUCCCGCGUGAAGGACGACUGCCCUAUGGGUUGUAAAACUUCUUUUUGUCUAGGGAUAAACCUACCCUCGUGAGGGUACUGAAAGGUACUUAUACCGAAUAAGCAACCGGUUAUUCCGUGCCANCAGCCGUCGGUAAAUACGGAGGGUGCACACGUUCAUACCGGGAAUUAAUCGGGUCUNAAACAGGGGGUCCCCGGAAAGGGCCGGGAAUCCUGGGUACAGAUCAAGUAGGGCGGAAAACUCUCCAUACAGGUUUUCAAUUUGGUAUGGCAAAAUUGNCCCAUUGCGANAACCUGGGACAGCCUGAAAAU
rnacentral:rRNA from 1 species